rnacentral:rRNA from 1 species
AGCGAACGCUGGCGGCAGGCCUAACACAUGCAAGUCGAACGAAGUCUUCGGACUUAGUGGCGGACGGGUGAGUAACACGUGGGAACGUACCUUUUGGUUCGGAACAACUCAGGGAAACUUGAGCUAAUACCGGAUGAGCACUUAGGGGGAAAGAUUUAUCGCCGAAAGAGCGGCCCGCGUUAGAUUAGCCAGUUGGUGAGGUAAAGGCUCACAAAGGCAACGAUCUAUAGCUGGUCUGAGAGGAUGAUCAGCCACACUGGGACUGAGACACGGCCCAGACUCCUACGGGGGGCAGCAGUGGGGAGUCUUGCGCAAGGGGCGAAAGCCUGACGCAGCCAUGCCGCGUGAAUGAUGAAGGUCUUAGGAUUGUAAAAUUCUUUUACCAGGGACGAUAAUGACGGUACCUGGAGAACAAGCCCCGGCUAACUUCGUGCCAGCCGCCGCCGUAACAC